GGCAGUGUAGCUCAGCGGUAGAGCAGCAGACUCAUAAGCUGUUGGUCGCAGGUUCGAAUCCUGCCACUGCCA
rnacentral:tRNA from 1 species